UAGCUGGAGAGAAAGCCAAACAGGUCCAAUGGACAAACGUCUAUCUGGAUGCUCUGGAGCUGGGCCUUGUGAUUACAGGAACUCUACCCGUCUUCAAUCUAACAAAGGAACAAAAUGGAAAAAUAAAUCAGCUGAUUCUUGGAGUAAUGGGGGUUGAUGUCUCUUUGGAGGACAUAAAAAAACUGACACCCCGAUUUACGCUUUGUCCAAAUGGAUACUAUUUUGCAAUUGAUCCUAAUGGGUAUGUGCUACUUCAUCCAAAUCUUCAGCCAAAGAAUCCUAAAUCCCAGGAGCCUGUUACGCUGGAUUUUCUAGAUGCUGAAUUGGAAAAUGAUAUUAAAGUUGAG